UUAGUAGUCUUUUUUAAGGUUCAGGAUGAAAGCUUGACGGAAUUGAAAAUGCUGGGAGAUUAAAGAGAAGAGCUUAAGUUUGAGCUCAUAAUCUUCCUUUGCAGUAACAUAUUGACAAAGUAAUGCUCAAGAAUGAAUGAUUUCCAUGGCAUAAGGCAUCCAUCCAGUGAGCUGCUUUCUUUAGGUAGAAAACAGCUAACCCAGGUCAAGGAAGCAUAAUCAUGGUGGAAGAAUCCAUGAACCUUCUAAUGUCAAGGUUUACACUGCCUGCCACCAGUCUAACCCGAAUACAAGGGAAGUUACAAGGAAAAGCUUUAUGGUCACUAUUACUUAAAAGAGUAGCAAAGACUCGUGUCUAUAUUCUUCCUGAUCACAUGAAUCUCAAAUGGGAAAAUUAUGGUCUUUGGUGUGUGGCUCAUUUAAAACUGAUGCAUUUGGAGAAAGGGCCUUUGAUAAUGUAUAACAACCAUUCAUGUUAAAAACACUGGCAAAAUGAGGCUUAGAAGGAACUUGCCUCAAUAUUAUAAAGCCUAUAUACAACAAACCCAUAGCCAACAUCAUACUGAAUGGAGAAAAACUGAAAGCUUUUCCCUCUAAAAUCAGAAAUAAGAUAAGGAUGCCCACUCUCACCACUUCUAUUUAGUAUAGUUCUAGAAACUCUAGCUAGAGCAGUCAGACAAGAGAAGGAAAUUAAA
rnacentral:lncRNA from 1 species